UUAGGCAAUAAUCAUAGAAUUCAAAAAGGCAACAGCAUGUCUCAUCACUUGAACAAUAGGAAAAGUCUCCACAAUCACUUGGUGAAGGAGAUGGAGGUGGUGGUGGUGGUGGAGUUGAAGGAGGUGGCGGUGGAGGAACACUUGGCGAUGGAUAAGGGGAUGGUGAAGAGGAUUCUUUAGUUGGAUAAGAAGCCAUGGCAUUGACAGCACAAACACCAUAUGGUAAAUCAGUGUCUCUUUUUAGAUAGAAAUAUCCAUCUAUCCCCCAACUUGUUCCCCAUGAAUUCUUCACUAUCCAAUACUCUUCACUGCCUUCUGAACCAUAACCAACUAUUAAAACAGCAUGAUCAAUGUCAUCUGGAUCAUCCGAGCAGCUCCCAUCAUAAAUUCCCUAUUCAUCCAUCAUGCCAUAUGAAUUUCAUUACCCCAAAAAUUUCGUUUUAAACAAAAAGUUUCCAGGUUCCAAACAUAUACUUACACCAGUGUAAAGUUGAAAAUCAAUGGCGGAACCAUCAAUUCCCACACUAACAGGUUGCUGAGCAACGGCACAUAAAAGAGCACUAUCUGAUUGCUCUACAUCUUGAUAGCCAUCAAUAGAUACAACCUUGGUUUCCUCCUGAUUAAAGACAAAUACAUUAGAAUUAGAGGAAGAACUAGUCGAACUACUGAAACAAAAAUGAAUCAGACCUUNNNNNNNNNNNNNNNNNNNNNNNNNNNNNNNNNNNNNNNNNNNNNNNNNNNNNNNNNNNNNNNNNNNNNNNNNNNNNNNNNNNNNNNNNNNNNNNNNNNNNNNNNNNNNNNNNNNNNNNNNNNNNNNNNNNNNNNNNNNNNNNNNNNNNNNNNNNNNNNNNNNNNNNNNNNNNNNNNNNNNNNNNNNNNNNNNNNNNNNNNNNNNNNNNNNNNNNNNNNNNNNNNNNNNNNNNNNNNNNNNNNNNNNNNNNNNNNNNNNNNNNNNNNNNNNNNNNNNNNNNNNNNNNNNNNNNNNNNNNNNNNNNNNNNNNNNNNNNNNNNNNNNNNNNNNNNNNNNNNNNNNNNNNNNNNNNNNNNNNNNNNNNNNNNNNNNNNNNNNNNNNNNNNNNNNNNNNNNNNNNNNNNNNNNNNNNNNNNNNNNNNNNNNNNNNNNNNNNNNNNNNNNNNNNNNNNNNNNNNNNNNNNNNNNNNNNNNNNNNNNNNNNNNNNNNNNNNNNNNNUUAAAACUUAAUGAGUCUAUUUUCAAGAGAAACAAAUGGAAACAUCAUCUGAAUCCCGUACUAAGAGAUAAUUAAUUUUUAGUGAAGAAAGGUCAAAAUUGUCAAACACAAGAACAAGGAUGAAUUUGAAGAAUUAACUGUACUUAUUGGCUAAACAAUAAAUUCUGAAAAUUUUAUGGUAGAAAUAUAUUUGAGUCUAGUUUCAGAAAAGUCAAGCGGAUCUUAACUUAGAGUUCUUUAGCUCAAGAUAUAAAUAAUUUUGUGACUGUGGCUCAAGUGGACGGUUUUAUUAUGAACAGUAAAUAAUUGUUUCGAUAUGUUUAAGGCUUGAUUAUGGUUGUGUUGGUAGUUUAACUGUGCCAUGUUAAGUUCCAUUGAAAAUGUGUAUGUGAGUGUGAAAAUGAGGGUGGCAAAUGGCUUGAUAAAUAGCCAUUCGCUUGGCCACACAGGUAGAGACACGGCUGUGUGUCUCAGCCGUGUGAAGGACACAGCCCAGGGACAUGGGCGUGUGACUUGGUUGUGUGACCCCAAAUUGUGCAUGACAUCAUAAACAGAGAGUUACACAGGCUGAGGACACGGGCAUGUGUAUGACUACACGACUUACCCAUACGGGCGUGUGACUCUCUAAAGUAUGAAAAUUUUCUAAGUGUAGUAAAAGUUCCCAAAGUUUUCAGUUUAGUCCCGAACCACUCCCAACUAUGUUUUGUGCCUCGUGGGCCUGUAUAAGGGACUAUAUGCAUGUGAUUGGAUGAAUUUGAUUUGGACCAAAUUUUAUGGCCCGGUUUGUAUGAAUGUUUAUGUUUAAGUCCGGUAACGCCUUGAAUCUAGUCCCAGCGUUGGAUACGGGUAAGGGGUGUUACAAGUCAAGUUAGUUGGUUUUGAGGCCAUAUUAGUCAAAAGACAAGGAAAUUAGAUAGUGUUUUUUAUUUCGCUAUAUAAUAUUUUAUUUUUUUGUUUUAUUUUUUAUUUUCCUUGUUCAAGAUUAGCUUAAUCAUGUUUAAUAACAAUGGAUAUAGGAGGUCGGAUGACUAAUUCAACUAAGAAGAGCACUUGAGCUCAGUGAAUGGAGAUUCAAUGUGACAGCCCAAAGUUGACUCUAGUCGGGAAGUGGUUUCGGGACCGCUAAACCGAGUCACCGAAAUGUUUGAAUGUGAUACUUAUUGUCUAGAAUAUGUAAUUAUGAAGGUGUGAAAAUUUCAAGCUUCAAUUUGGUUGAUUUCAUGUGAAUUUAGUCAAUAGGACUUAUGUGAGAAAAUUCUAAAAUGUGAUAGGUCAAUGUGUGAGGACCUAUUAGUGCAUGUGGACAAAGGGGGGACUUGCAUGUCAAAUUUCCCCCCUACUAGUAGUGGCCGGCCAUGACAAGCAUGGUAGACCAAGUUUGAUGGCCAAGACAUGUCAUAGACAUGUUUUGUUGGUGCAUCAUGGGUGGAAAAAAAUAAAAUAAUAGGCAUGGAAAUUAAAUAAUGAAAAGGAGCAUGAUGAAUACACAAAAAAAAAAAGUGUGUAGUUGAUUCUUUUUCCCCCCAUUGCCGUGAGCUAAAAAAAAGAGAGGAGAAGAUCUUUGUUCAUCCUUUUCUCACCUUCAUUUAGCCUAAAUUAGAAAGAAAAACAAAGAAAAAAAUUUCUCAUCCUUUGGUUCAUCCUUGGCCAAAAAUUUUAAGGAGGAAAGAAGAAGAAAGGUGAAGAGAUUCGGCCAUGCAUGUAGCUAGGCUAAGGUAUGUUUGAUGAUGUUCCAUGAGAUGCAUGCAUGUUUUAGUUGUUAGCUUGAGUUCUACCUAGCCCAUGGUCUAAAUCUUGCUAUGUGAUGGAAAUGACACUUGACCAUGGAUGCAUCAUUCUUGGUUGAUGUUUGAUGUUGUGGUCAUGAGGCAUGAGGAUGAGUUAAGAUUCGGCCUAGGUGGAGGUCGUGUUAAUGCCAUUGCAUGCAAAAUAUGAAGCUUGUUAAUGAUGCAUGUGAUGAUGGCUUGAUGAUUUUUGAACCUCCUUUUUAGCAUUUUUGUGUGAGCACAUAUGUGCAUUGAUUGCUAAAUGGAGAAGAAUCGGCUAGCAAGAUGUGUGCUAAGGCCGAAUGUAACUUUGCAUGUUAAUGAGCAAUGCAUGUGUUAAAUUGAUGAAAAGGGGGAGGAUGCUUUACUAGUGUGUAUAUGUGUGUAUUAAGUGUUGAAAUCGACCCCAAAAAUAGACAUGCAUAUUCGGCCAAGGGGAAAGAAAUUAGCUAAUAUGUUGUGUUGAUGCAUGAUUUUUGCAUGUACGAGACUUUAAUGUCUAAUGUAUAAAUAUGGGCUAAGUGCCUUGUGUUCAUCUUUUUGAUGCCUAAAUGAUGAAAUCAAUUUAUUUGUUUAAUUAAGCUCAAGAGCAAAGGGGAAAUAAAUCCGAUAAAGGGAAGGAAAAAGUGGUCGAAUAGUUAGCGGAAUCGUUCGACAACACCCGAGGUAAGUUCUUGAGUAAGAGAGCUUAAAUUACGAUGUGAUUAAAUCAUGCUCUAUGUGUGGCUAUUGAGCCGAAUGUGCAAGGACGAUAUGUGCCUUGUGUUUGAGUUUCGCAAAUGAAAAUGAAAUAUGAAUGUGCCAUGAAUUAUUGUUAGAUGUGCAUGAUUAACUGAAUGCUGUCCGGGCUAAGUCCCGAAGGCUUUGUGCUAAGUGAAUAUAUCCGGACUAAGAUCCGAAGGCAUUUGUGCGAGAUACAAGUUCCGGGUUAAGCCCCGAAGGCCUUUGUGCGAGAUACUAAAUCCGGGUUAAGUCCCGAAGGCAUUCGUGCGAGUCAUUAAAUCCGGGUUAAGUCCCGAAUGCAUUGUGUGAGUUACUAAAACCGGGCUAUGUCCCGAAGGCAUUUGAACGAGGAGCUAUAUCCGGUUAAAUCCCGAAGGUACGUGAUUUGGUAAUGAAUGAGCUUGCUGUAAAAUUCCAGCGAAUACACGAAAAACAUCCCAAUAUGGGGAUAUGUUACGUAUGUGUUGAAUUUAAUCGAGCCCUUACAAAUAAAUGUUCGCUCAGUUGAUAAACGAGCUACCGGCCUUCGGCUAAGUUAGUCUAUUGUGUAUGUACAUAAUGGUUGUUAAUGUUGUGAAGCAAGUUUGAUAUCGGUAAAUUGCGUAUUAUGAAAUAUUCCGUUUAGCUAAAUGUGUGUUAUUCUUUGUUUAUGCUGGAAUUCCUUGCUCAAAACUUACUAAGCAUAAAUUGCUUACUCGUUACACUGCUCCUCUGUUUUAUAGAUUUUUGGUUCUCCAGCUAUCGGACUCGGGAUCUUGAAGUCGAAGUCGCCCACACUAUCAAAGGCUCUUUUGGGUACCAUUUUGGUUGAAUUUUGAUAUGGCAUGUAUAGGACUACCCAUUGUUGUUUUUCGAGUACUUUAUGAAAUGUAUAAGUGUACAGCCAUGCGAAAAUGGCUUGUAGAAGUGGAGUAUGGCAUUAGACCAUUCGUGUUUAUGAAUGUAUAGAUGGUUUCAUGAUGUAACUAUAGUUGGAAUGGAAGUGUUGAGCAAAUGAUCAGCCAUUGGAAUGGCUAAGUAUGAUCAUAUGUGGGCAUAUGUAUGACAAGGCCCUAGUUGGUCCAUGAAACCCCGAAAAUAGGUAAGGUUUACUCUGAAAACAGAGGCUGACAGCAGCAGUGGUGUGGAUUGGAAAAAUCACAAGAAUUCGUAGGAGUGGAAUUAAAUAGUGAAUAAAUUAUGUAAUCGAACCUUGAUGAAUCUACUUUCAUAUGAAAGUAACGAAACAAUCAUAUGAACAGUACAGUAAGAGAAAUUCAGGUUCUUGUGGGACAGGGCCAGAACAGUUUCUGGAUUCCCUGUUUCGACUUUGCAAAUUCACUAUAAAUUUACCAGAGAUAAUUAGGAGUCAUACCAUAUAUGUAUGGAUUCCUCUCUGAGUCUAGUUUCCAUAGAAACAAACGGCACCAGUAUUGAAGCUCUGUGCAGAGAGAUAUCCAUGUCGUAAUGGGAAAAGGUCAGUGUAGUCGACCCCUGUAACAUGGGAGAAUUUGACUAAUAAACUGUACUAAUUGCCCCAACCAAAAAUUCUAGAAAAAAAUAUGUAGAUGGGCAUAUGAGUCUAGUUUCAGGGAAAAAUCACGAAACUGAUUUUUGAGUUGUGAAACUCAAGAUAUGAUUUUUAAAGCGACUAGUACACAGAUUGGGCAGUGUCUGGAAUUUUUUUUUCAAAGUUUGUUAACACCUCGUGUUCGACUCCGGUGUCGGACUCGGGUUCGGGGUGUUACAUUAAAUUGGUAUCAGAGCUACGGUUUAGUCGAUUCUAGGACUACCGUAAUGUGUUGGGUCUAGCUAUACAUGCCAUUUUAUGUGAUUACUUGAUAGUGUGGUUAUUUCUGACAAUUGUAAAUGUGUUUAUUUAUAGUAAUGGAUCCCGAUCGUAACCGAGAGGUAGCUGAUGAUCUUGAGAGUGUAGCGCCUGCUCCCGCACAAGGGACAGCGCCGGCGGACUCUCAACCUAAUGCUAGUAAUCCGAAUGAUGAAGCUAGACAAGCAUUCUAUAGCGUGAUGAAUGAUUGGUUCAACCAAUACAUUCGAACUAAUAUGGCUGUUCCACAACCUCCAUUCCCGACAAAUACUACCCCCGCACCUACAAUACCUCCGGUAACUGACCAAAUAAGGUCAAAUAAGCCCCCAAUUGAUAGAAUCCGAAAACAUGGGGCUACUGAAUUUAAAGCUACGGAUAGCGACAAUGCCGAGCAAGCUGAAUUUUGGUUGGACAACACUAUCCGGGUACUCGAUGAGCUAUCUUGUACACCCGAUGAAUGCCUAAAGUGUGCUAUCUCCUUGCUACGUGAUUCUGCCUACUAUUGGUGGAGUACUCUGACUUCUGUUGUGCCCCGAGAGCAAGUAACUUGGGAGUUUUUCCAAACUGAGUUUCGGAAAAAGUAUAUCAGUCAGAGAUUUGUUGAUCAAAAACGGAAGGAAUUUCUUGAGCUUAAGCAAGGCUCCAUGUCGGUUACUGAUUACGAGCGAAAAUUUGUUAGACUUAGCAAAUACGCUCGGGAAUGUGUUUCGUCCGAAGCUAUUAUGUGUAAACGCUUCGAGGAUGGGUUGAAUGAAGAUAUAAAAAUGUUCGUUGGCGUUCUUGAAAUACGAGAGUUCGUGGUACUUGUUGAACGAGCUUGUAAAGCCGAAGAGCUUAGAAAAGAAAAGCAAAGAGUUGAUGAGGGAACUGGAGAGUUUCGUAAAAGAUCCUCGGGACGGUCUCUUCAACAGACAUCGAAGAGAUUUCGAGAUGAUGCGGGCCAGUUUAGAGGCACUUCGGGCCUUUUUAGACGAGAUCGUGAUCGACCCCCUGUGGGUACACGAGGCACUUCGGUCGCCAGUGUUGGGAAUGAACGUCGAGAUAGAACGAAAUGUCGAUAUUGCGGUAAAUGGCAUUCGGGGAGUUGUAGAUUCCCUGACCGCUCCUGUUACAAGUGCGGAUCAGUUGACCACUUCAUUAAAGAUUGCCCGAGGUUGUUUGAACAGAAUGAAAAUCAGAGUGGGAAACCGGGUGCUAUCACUGCUCGAGGUAGACCAUCUGGAAAUACGGGCAAUGCUAGUGGUGGUCAGAGAGGAUCUAGAGAUGAUAUAGCCAGAUCCGAAGCUCGUGCGCCUGCUAGAGCUUAUGCUAUACGUGCCCGCGAGGAUGCUUCCUCGCCUGAUGUUAUUACCGGUACAUUCACUCUCUUUGAUACUAAUGUAAUUGCUUUGAUUGACCCCGGUUCUACUCAUUCUUACAUAUGUGAAACCUUAGCAUCCAGUAAGACUUUACCUAUUGAGUCUACUGAGUUCGUAAUUCGGGUGUCAAAUCCCUUGGGUCGUUACAUGCUUGUCGACAAAGUGUGUAAGAAAUGUCCCCUGGAAAUUCGAGGUUCCUGUUUUCCGGCGAACUUGAUGCUUUUGCCGUUUGAUGAAUUUGAUGUUAUCCUUGGUUUGGAUUGGUUGAUCGCGCAUGAUGCGGUUGUGAAUUGCAAGAACAAGACUAUUGAUUUGAGGUGCGCAAAUAACGAAGUAAUCCGAAUUGAGUCUGCGGACUUGGAGGGGAUGCCAGCUGUAAUAUCAGCAAUGUUAGCACAGAAAUAUGUAAGAAAAGGGUGCGAAGCAUACCUUGCGUAUGUACUUGAUGACAAAGAAUUAGAAAAGAAACCCGAAUCUGUGCCGGUGGUUUGUGAAUACCCGGAUGUUUUUCCGGAAGAAUUACCGGGUUUACCACCUGUUCGGGAGGUAGAGUUUGGUAUUAAGCUUGUACCUGGGACUACGCCGAUUUCGAUAGCUCCGUAUCGUAUGGCACCAACUGAGUUAAAGGAGUUGAAAGCUCAGUUGCAAGAACUGACGGAUAGAGGUCUCGCUCGACCAAGUUUUUCACCUUGGGGUGCACCAGUAUUGUUCGUGAAAAAGAAGGACGGAACCAUGAGGUUGUGCAUUGACUAUCGUCAGCUGAAUAAAGUGACGAUAAAGAACAAAUAUCCGUUGCCGCGCAUCGAUGAUUUGUUCGACCAACUGAAGGGAGCCUCAGUGUUCUCAAAAAUAGAUUUGAGAUCGGGCUAUUAUCAGUUGCGAAUUCGAGAUUCAGAUAUUCCCAAAACUGCCUUCAGAACGAGAUAUGGUCACUACGAAUUCUUAGUGAUGCCGUUUGGGCUCACUAAUGCCCCUGCGGUAUUUAUGGAUUUGAUGAAUCGGAUCUUCAGACCGUAUUUGGAUCGGUUCGUAGUUGUGUUCAUUGAUGACAUUUUGGUCUAUUCAAGAGAUGAGACCGAACAUGCUGAGCAUCUGAGGCUAGUGCUGCAAAUUUUGCGGGAUAAGCAGUUAUAUGCUAAGUUCAGUAAGUGUGAGUUCUGGUUAAGAGAGGUUAGCUUCUUGGGUCAUGUGGUAUCCGCGUCAGGUAUUCGUGUUGACCCGAACAAAAUUUCAGCCAUACUUGGCUGGAAACCUCCGAGAAAUAUUACUGAAGUUCGGAGCUUUUUGGGGCUCGCCGGUUAUUACCGACGAUUUGUGAAAGGUUUCUCGAUGAUAGCCACACCAAUGACGAAGCUACUUCAAAAGGAUGUUAAGUUCGAGUGGACGGAGAAAUGUCAGAAAAGUUUCGACCAACUGAAAACUCAUUUGACUGAAGCUCCAAUUUUGGUGCAACCCGAAUCAGGUAAAGAGUUUGUCAUUUAUAGUGACGCAUCCCUACUUGGGUUGGGUUGCGUAUUGAUGCAAGAAGGUUGAGUCGUGGCCUAUGCGUCGAGACAAUUGAAGCCACACGAGAGGAAUUAUCCGACCCAUGAUCUCGAACUAGCUGCCAUCGUGUUUGCUUUAAAAAUAUGGCGACAUUAUCUGUUCGGUGAGAAGUGCCAUGUAUUUUCGGAUCACAAAAGUCUCAAAUAUUUGAUGACUCGACGAGACUUGAAUCUGCGACAAAGUCGUUGGCUUGAGUUGUUGAAAGAUUACGAGCUUGUCAUUGAUUACCACUCGGGAAAGGCUAACGUGGUUGCGGACGCCUUAAGCCGGAAGUCAUUGUUUGCUUUACGAGCGAUGAACGUGCAUUUGUCUGUUCUACCAGACAAUGUGUUAGUAGCUGAAUUAAAAGCUAAACCAUUAUUGACUCACCAAAUUCGUGAAGCUCAGAAAGUCGAUGAUGAAUUGGUUGCAAAACGGGCUAAGUGUGUUCCGAACGAGGAAUCGGAGUUUCAAAUUGAUGAUGGUGAUUGUUUGAGGUUCAGAAAUCGUUUGUGUGUUCCAAGAAAUUCGGAACUCAUUUCGAUGAUUCUGAACGAAGCCCAUUGUAGCCGAAUGUCAAUUCACCCGGGGAGUACGAAAAUGUACAACGAUUUGAAACGUCAAUUUUGGUGGCAUGGUAUGAAACGGGACAUCUCCGACUUUGUUUCAAGAUGUUUAAUAUGUCAACAAGUGAAAGCGGAACAUCAAGUGCCUUCAGGAUUACUUCAGCCGAUCAUGAUACCCGAGUGGAAAUGGGAUCGAGUCACAAUGGACUUUGUGUCCGGACUGCCCUUGUCUGCAAGUAAGAAGGAUGCGAUAUGGGUUGUUGUUGAUAGACUGACUAAGUCGGCUCAUUUCAUCCCCGUACGUACGGAUUUUUCAUUGGGUAAACUAGCUGAAUUGUACGUUUAUCAAAUUGUGAGAUUACACGGGGUACCUGUUUCUAUCGUGUCGGAUAGAGAUCCGAGAUUCACCUCACGAUUUUGGAAGAAAUUGCAAGAAGCUCUGGGUACCAACCUGCAUUUUAGCACUGCUUUUCACCCUCAAACCGAUGGUCAAUCCGAGCGGAUAAUUCAGAUACUUGAGGAUAUGUUGAGAUGUUGCAUCCUCGAGUUCAGUGGUUCAUGGGAACGGUAUUUACCUUUGAUUGAAUUCGCUUACAACAAUAGUUUUCAAUCAAGUAUUAAGAUGGCACCUUACGAGGCUUUGUACGGUCGUAAAUGCCGUACACCAUUGUUUUGGACCGAGCUCAGUGAAAGUAAAAUUUUUGGAGUUGAUUUGAUUAAAGAUGCUGAACAGAAAGUAAAGGUAAUCCGUGAAAGUCUGAAGGUAGCCACGGAUCGUCAGAAGUCGUACGCAGAUUUGAAACGAAAAGACAUCGAGUAUCAGGUGGGAGACAAAGUGUUCCUUAAGGUUUCACCUUGGAAAAAGAUACUCAGGUUCGGCCGUAAGGACAAGUUGAGCCCAAGAUUCAUUGGGCCGUACGAAAUCUCCGAACGAGUUGGUCCAGUUGCGUAUAGAUUGAUUUUGCCCCCGGAGCUUGAAAAGAUUCAUGACGUCUUUCAUGUUUCGAUGCUUCGACGCUAUCGAUCUGAUCCAUCGCAUAUAAUUAGCCCAUCAGAGGUUGAAAUUCAAGUCGACAUGAGCUAUGAAGAAGAACCGAUGCGUAUCCUAGCUCGUGAAGUGAAGGAGUUGCGAAACAAAAGAGUUCCGCUAGUAAAGGUGUUAUGGCUCAAACACGGGAUCGAGGAAGCUACUUGGGAGACCGAGAGCUCGAUGAAAGAACGAUACCCAAACCUAUUUACCGGUAAGAUUUUCGGGGACGAAAAUUUCUUAAGUGGGGGAGAGUUGUGACAGCCCAAAGUUGACCCUAGUCGGGAAGUGGUUUCGGGACCGCUAAACCGAGUCACCGAAAUGUUUGAAUGUGAUACUUAUUGUCUAGAAUAUGUAAUUAUGAAGGUGUGAAAAUUUCAAGCUUCAAUUUGGUUGAUUUCAUGUGAAUUUAGUCAAUAGGACUUAUGUGAGAAAAUUCUAAAAUGUGAUAGGUCAAUGUGUGAGGACCUAUUAGUGCAUGUGGACAAAGGGGGGACUUGCAUGUCAAAUUUCCCCCCCUACUAGUAGUGGCCGGCCAUGACAAGCAUGGUAGACCAAGUUUGAUGGCCAAGACAUGUCAUAGACAUGUUUUGUUGGUGCAUCAUGGGUGGAAAAAAAUAAAAUAAUAGGCAUGGAAAUUAAAUAAUGAAAAGGAGCAUGAUGAAUACACAAAAAAAAAGUGUGUAGUUGAUUCUUUUUCCCCCCAUUGCCGUGAGCUAAAAAAAAGAGAGGAGAAGAUCUUUGUUCAUCCUUUUCUCACCUUCAUUUAGCCUAAAUUAGAAAGAAAAACAAAGAAAAAAAUUUCUCAUCCUUUGGUUCAUCCUUGGCCAAAAAUUUUAAGGAGGAAAGAAGAAGAAAGGUGAAGAGAUUCGGCCAUGCAUGUAGCUAGGCUAAGGUAUGUUUGAUGAUGUUCCAUGAGAUGCAUGCAUGUUUUAGUUGUUAGCUUGAGUUCUACCUAGCCCAUGGUCUAAAUCUUGCUAUGUGAUGGAAAUGGCACUUGACCAUGGAUGCAUCAUUCUUGGUUGAUGUUUGAUGUUGUGGUCAUGAGGCAUGAGGAUGAGUUAAGAUUCGGCCUAGGUGGAGGUCGUGUUAAUGCCAUUGCAUGCAAAAUAUGAAGCUUGUUAAUGAUGCAUGUGAUGAUGGCUUGAUGAUUUUUGAACCUCCUUUUUAGCAUUUUUGUGUGAGCACAUAUGUGCAUUGAUUGCUAAAUGGAGAAGAAUCGGCUAGCAAGAUGUGUGCUAAGGCCGAAUGUAACUUUGCAUGUUAAUGAGCAAUGCAUGUGUUAAAUUGAUGAAAAGGGGGAGGAUGCUUUACUAGUGUGUAUAUGUGUGUAUUAAGUGUUGAAAUCGACCCCAAAAAUAGACAUGCAUAUUCGGCCAAGGGGAAAGAAAUUAGCUAAUAUGUUGUGUUGAUGCAUGAUUUUUGCAUGUACGAGACUUUAAUGUCUAAUGUAUAAAUAUGGGCUAAGUGCCUUGUGUUCAUCUUUUUGAUGCCUAAAUGAUGAAAUCAAUUUAUUUGUUUAAUUAAGCUCAAGAGCAAAGGGGAAAUAAAUCCGAUAAAGGGAAGGAAAAAGUGGUCGAAUAGUUAGCGGAAUCGUUCGACAACACCCGAGGUAAGUUCUUGAGUAAGAGAGCUUAAAUUACGAUGUGAUUAAAUCAUGCUCUAUGUGUGGCUAUUGAGCCGAAUGUGCAAGGACGAUAUGUGCCUUGUGUUUGAGUUUCGCAAAUGAAAAUGAAAUAUGAAUGUGCCAUGAAUUAUUGUUAGAUGUGCAUGAUUAACUGAAUGCUGUCCGGGCUAAGUCCCGAAGGCUUUGUGCUAAGUGAAUAUAUCCGGACUAAGAUCCGAAGGCAUUUGUGCGAGAUACAAGUUCCGGGUUAAGCCCCGAAGGCCUUUGUGCGAGAUACUAAAUCCGGGUUAAGUCCCGAAGGCAUUCGUGCGAGUCAUUAAAUCCGGGUUAAGUCCCGAAGGCAUUGUGUGAGUUACUAAAACCGGGCUAUGUCCCGAAGGCAUUUGAACGAGGAGCUAUAUCCGGUUAAAUCCCGAAGGUACGUGAUUUGGUAAUGAAUGAGCUUGCUGUAAAAUUCCAGCGAAUACACGAAAAACAUCCCAAUAUGGGGAUAUGUUACGUAUGUGUUGAAUUUAAUCGAGCCCUUACAAAUAAAUGUUCGCUCAGUUGAUAAACGAGCUACCGGCCUUCGGCUAAGUUAGUCUAUUGUGUAUGUACAUAAUGGUUGUUAAUGUUGUGAAGCAAGUUUGAUAUCGGUAAAUUGCGUAUUAUGAAAUAUUCCGUUUAGCUAAAUGUGUGUUAUUCUUUGUUUAUGCUGGAAUUCCUUGCUCAAAACUUACUAAGCAUAAAUUGCUUACUCGUUACACUGCUCCUCUGUUUUAUAGAUUUUUGGUUCUCCAGCUAUCGGACUCGGGAUCUUGAAGUCGAAGUCGCCCACACUAUCAAAGGCUCUUUUGGGUACCAUUUUGGUUGAAUUUUGAUAUGGCAUGUAUAGGACUACCCAUUGUUGUUUUUCGAGUACUUUAUGAAAUGUAUAAGUGUACAGCCAUGCGAAAAUGGCUUGUAGAAGUGGAGUAUGGCAUUAGACCAUUCGUGUUUAUGAAUGUAUAGAUGGUUUCAUGAUGUAACUAUAGUUGGAAUGGAAGUGUUGAGCAAAUGAUCAGCCAUUGGAAUGGCUAAGUAUGAUCAUAUGUGGGCAUAUGUAUGACAAGGCCCUAGUUGGUCCAUGAAACCCCGAAAAUAGGUAAGGUUUACUCUGAAAACAGAGGCUGACAGCAGCAGUGGUGUGGAUUGGAAAAAUCACAAGAAUUCGUAGGAGUGGAAUUAAAUAGUGAAUAAAUUAUGUAAUCGAACCUUGAUGAAUCUACUUUCAUAUGAAAGUAACGAAACAAUCAUAUGAACAGUACAGUAAGAGAAAUUCAGGUUCUUGUGGGACAGGGCCAGAACAGUUUCUGGAUUCCCUGUUUCGACUUUGGAAAUUCACUAUAAAUUGACCAGAGAUAAUUAGGAGUCAUACCAUAUAUUUAUGAAUUCCUCUCUGAGUCUAGUUUCCAUAGAAACAAACGGCACCAGUAUUGAAGCUCUGUGCAGAGAGAUAUCCAUGUCGUAAUGGGAAAAGAUCAGUGUAGUCGACCCCUGUAACAUGGGAGAAUUUGACUAAUAAACUGUACUAAUUGGCCCAACCAAAAAUUCUAGAAAAAAAUAUGUAGAUGGGCAUAUGAGUCUAGUUUCAGGGAAAAAUCACGAAACUGAUUUUCGAGUUGUGAAACUCAAGAUAUGAUUUUUAAAGCGACUAGUACACAGAUUGGGCAGUGUCUGGAAUUUUUUUUUUCGAAGUUUGUUAACACCUCGUGUUCGACUCCGGUGUCGGACUCGGGUUCGGGGUGUUACAUUCAACGAGUCAUUGUAGUUAUUAUGGUGAUCAUAGACGACAUGAAUAUUCAUACAAACAUCCUCAUGGGUCAUAUGAGUAUGCAGAUGGUAUGGAUAACUACAAACCCAAGUGGUCGGCUAGUUAUACGAAGCAAGAUUUUUUUCUCCUUAUUACUAUCUGGAAAGUAUUAUGGAAUGUGACGAGUACAUGGAAGACCCAUCCCUUACUACAUGGGUUGGAAUGUUGGAGGAGAGCAUGUCUUUAUGGCAAGCUACUAUGUCCUUUAUGUCUAAGACAUUGGAGCAAAUAUUGGAAGCCGCGUAAUGUCGAGCCAUAAUGAACAGUCCGAUGGAAGAGGUUGAGCAUAAUAUUCCUGAGCUCAAGGAUGAAGGCCAUUCCACCGUUAUUAAGCAUGAUGAGUUGAACAUAGGUGUUCAACAAGAGUUUUUUGAGUUGGAAAUCGUGAUGAGAUUGUGAGAAUCGAAGAUGGUGUCUUCACUUUGAUUGACAUAGGAAAAGUAGUAGUAGGAGUAGAUUUAAAUGUAGAGGAAGAGCAAAAUCAGGAAUUAAGUGAAAGUUUGGAGGAUCACACACUUUCCAAUCAUUGUUGUAGAGGAACCAAUUGACGGACCUAAUGAACAUAUCUAUUUUCAAUUCAAAAUAGGAAGUGAAACCUAGGUAUCUACGGCUUAUUGCAACAUCGAGUUUGUGAUGCCUGAGGCUAUAAUACCUCAGAAUGCAUUUUGGAGUUGGUUAGGCUUUGGAGAGAAGUGGCUCAUGAUGUAGUUGUCUCAACGAUCGAAGAUAAGACGGAAGCAGUGUUUUCAAUCGAAGAGGGAGGUUGUUGUCCUGACAAAAAACGUCGAUUCAACAUGUCGAGGACCUCAUGGAAGUUCUCUUAUGGUGGUGGUAUGGAUCACCCCGAUUAUUGUGGAUUUCAAUAAAUUUUAUUUGUGUUCUUUCUUAUUUAUUUAUUAUUGUAUAUUUUUAUUAUUUUGUUUUUGAUAUGUUUGUUUUGUUUUUCUAUGUGGGUUUACCUAUCGAAAGCUAUACAACAUUGGGAGCUUUAAUGAAGUUUGAGGAUUGCUCUAUAAUUUUGCUACACAUAGUCUUAAAUCGAGUGAGUUUUCUCAAACUAACCUUUAGUAGGGGACAUAUUAAGGACAAUGUGUAACUUAAGUGUCGGGGAUACAUAGAAAUUUUAAUUUAUGUGUUUUGUUUACUUAUUUUGUACAUUGUUUAAUUUUUUUUUUCAAAAAUCUAUAAAAAUUUUAAAAUUUCUUUUUUUUUUCUUGUAUGGUACUUGAAAUAUGUUGGCAUUGGGAUUGACCAUGCAUACUGAACUAAAAUGGCAGAUACUCAUAGACCCAUACAGAUUUUCAACAUGCUUAGCAUUUCAGGGUUGGAGUGCAGAAACUCACCUGAUACUCUUUUUUCCUCACAACUUAGCUUCUCCAAAUGCCAGAGCUUCCAUUCUCCUGAUAGCUAAGCAAGACAACAAUUUCAUAAGUUAAUUUCUGAGUUUUCAACUUAAAACUCGGUUUUUCAGAAACAUGCAGAACCCCUAAAAUAAUUCUAAAAAUCCUUAACUUUAUUUCUUGGUCUUAUGUAUACUGAAAGGUUUAGGACCUUACUAUCUUACUGCAUUCUUUAUUUUUCCUACUCAAAUCUCAUGAUCAUCAUCCCAUGCAAACCUUCCACAGGUAACUCUCCUUUGGAGCAUUCAAGGAAGGAGAUGAAAAUGAAACAAAUUGAAAAAGAAGUCUCAUUGGGAAGUCUUUUUCCCAAACUAUUUAUAACCCUUCUCUCACGGUCUUCAAUUGUUUAGGAGUCAUGUACUGAAAGUCAUUAUGUCUCCCACUAAGAGAUCGGCUGGUUCUAAUCCAAAUAAACCAGACUUAGUUCUCAACCCUACUCCAUUCCGUUCCAAAUUUUUCCUGAUUUUCCAAUGGAGACUGUCAACUUACAAUUUUAUUAAAUUAGAUCCCCUAAUGGUUCCUAAUUUUCGAGUUUAAUGGAAACUGGGUAUGACAGCUCUCCCACCCUAAAAAAAAAAAGAAUUUCGUCCUUGAAAUGUCUUUUCACACUAGUCACAAAGGCAGACUUAGAGAAAUUCUUCUUCUUUAUUACUCCCUUCUCAUGGCUUGUAGAGGCAAUCACCUUUCAUUCUAAUCAAAUCCUUUUGUAACGCCCCGUACCCGAGACCGUCGCCGGAGUCGAACACGAGGUGUUAACAAACUUAAUUCAUUACUUAAACAGCUCAAACAAUUUAUUUUUAAAAUUUCCAGUUAAACUAGCAAUCAGCGUCACAGUCGCUUAAAAAUUCAUAUCUCACAUUACGAAACUCUAAAUCCAAUUCCGUAAAUUUUCCCUGAAAAUAGACUCAUAUAUCUAUUUACUAAUUGUUUUAUAGAAUUUUUGGUCAAGCCAAUUAGUACAGUUUAUUAGUUAAAGUCUCCCCUGUUUCAGGGUUUGACUGCUCUGACCUCUGUGUAUUACGAAUCAGAUAUCUCUCUGUACAGAAUUUCAAUGACUAUGAAGUUUGUUUCUCUUAAAACUAGACUCAAUAAGGAAUCUGUACAUAUAAAUAAUUACUUCAAAUUAUCUUUGAAAAAUUUAUGGUGAAUUUUCAAAGUCAGAAUAGGGGAUCCAGAAAUCGCUCUGGCCUUGUUUCAAAAAAAUUUAAACAUCUCAUAAAAUAUGACUCAUAUACCUGUUUUGUUCCAUCCAUAUGAAAAUAGACUCAUAAUUAUUCAAUUCCAUAUUUUAUUCACCAUCUAAUUGUAUCUCUACUAUUUUUAAUGAUUUUUCAAACUCACAUCAUUGCUGCUGUCUGAAUCUAUUUUAUGGUAAAUUUUACCUAUUUCAUGUUUUCCAUGGAUUAGCUAGUAAUUUAGCAUACAUAACACCAAAUAUGAUAAUGAUUAGCCAUUCCAAUGGCUAAUCAUUACCAAGCAUUUCCAUACCACUCAAUAACCAUAUCAUAAGACCAUAUAUACAAAAUGAUUAUAAUGCUAUACAUGCCAUACUUAAAAUAUACAAGCCAUUAUGCCAAGAUGGUAUACAGAUAGUGUGAGCGAACCUCCGACCGUUCCCGAUUUCCGAGCUGGCUUGUCAAAACUACAAUGAAUGAAAAGGAUGGAGUAAGCAUAAAUUCUUAGUAAGCUCACAUGCAAAUAGCAAGUAACACAACUAUAUAAGCAAACAUAAAACAUCAUUUGCAUAAUCAUCACCGAGACAUUCAUAUCACAUUUUCAUUUAUCAUCCUACUAUAUUGUUGUUAUAUCGAGUUUUCAACUCGAGGGUUAAGUACAUACCUGUUCAAAGUAUUCAUUUCGCAACACUUACCAAUACGUCCCUUUCAUCUCGAGUAUUCCUCCAUUUGAGUAGAAUUUUACCCGUUGAACACAUCGGAAUAUAAUUCGGAUACAUGGAAAGUUUGCACAUAAGUGCCACAUAUAUAGCCAAGCUACCAUGUAACCCGCCCAUAAGCGAACUCGGACUCAACUCAACGAGCUCGGGCGUUCGCAUCCAUAAGUGAACUCGGACUCAACUCAAUGAGCUCGGAUGCCUAGUUACAUCUCUCGAACUCGGACUCAACUCAACGAGUUCGGACAUUCGCAUCCAUAAGUGAACUCGGACUCAACUCAACGAGUUCGGAUGCCCAAAUAUUCUAGUGACAUGUCACUUGUAUCCUAAUCUAUUCCUAAGGUUCAAACGGGACCUUUCUCCCAAUCAUGUGUCUCAACCAUCUUCUACGGAAUGCCGAUACCGAUACUCAAUAGUAUUUCAUAUUUUCCAAAUAUAUCACAUAAUUUGACAUAUUAUCAAACAAUUAUCACAAGUAUAAUAUUUCAUAAUAAUUAUCAUAUCAUUUAAAUAACAUUAAAACAUUUAAAAUAAUAAUUAUGUUACCAACAUUUACAUAUGAACUUACCUCGUAUGCGAAAAUGGCUACUUUUACCAUCUCGUCCACAACUUGGUAUUUUCCCCAUUUUAGUCCGAAUUUUAGUUUUCCUUGCUCUAUCAUUUAAAAUAUAGUCUAAUUAGGACUCACAUUAUUCAAAUUGACCCAAAAUCAUAUUUUGGCAAAAUUACAGUUUUGCCCCUAAACUUUCACAUUUACACUUUUGCCCUAAAGCUCGUAAAUUAAACUUCAGCCUAUCUUCUUAUGUUUUAUGACAUGCUGAUCAUUUUUCCCUUCUAUGGAAACAUCAAAUUCUCACUCUAACAUGUACUUAUGACUAUUAGGUAUUUUUACCGAUUAAGCCCUUUUACUCGUUUUCACUUAAAACCGAGUAGCACAAGUUGUCUAACAUAAUUUAAAACCUCAUAUUCUAUCAUAAAACACCAAAAUACGCAAAUUUCACCUAUGGGUAUUUUUCCAAAUAUAAACCCUAGGUUAAAUUAUUGCUAGCAUAAGCUAAAUCGAGCUAUCGGGACUCCAAAAACGUAAAAAUCAUUAAAAACGAGGCUAGAACGGACUUACAAUCAAGCUUGGAAGCUUGAAAAACCCUAGCCAUGGUUUCUCCUUGCUAUAUUCGGCCAUGGGGUUGAAGAUGAGCAAAAUUGGCUUUUAAUUUUGUAUUUUAAUUCAUUUUACCCCUAAAUGACCAAAAUGCCCUUACUACUAAACUUUCCAAAAAUUCCAUCCAUGCCCAAUUUUUUUCCAUAGAUUUAUAAAUUGGUAAAAUUUCUAUUUAAGACCUCCUAAUUAAUAUUUCAAAACAAUUUCAUACUAGAAACUUCUAGAAUGCAGUUUUGCAAAUUAUUCGAUUUAGUCCCUAAUUUCAAUUUAAGCACUUUAUGCAUAAAAUUUCUUCACGAAAUUUUCACACAAUCAUGCAAUCAUAUCAUAGACCUUAAAAUAAUCAUAAAAUAAUUAUUUAUAUCUCGGAUUUUAUGGUCACGAAACCACUAUUCUGACUAGGCCCAAAAUCAGGAUAUUACACCUUUAACUCGGUUCCCCUUUCGUACACCUACGUUAUUCUUGCUCUACCCAGUUUGUGGAUUCCCUCAACACUUAAUGAUUUAUAGAUACCGGCUCAGUGGUGGGUAUUUGACCACUCUGGCGCUAGACAUACUCUAAUUCGUAUCUUUUCUUCAUAAUAUGAGGAUUUAUGGAGUUUGUAUGAAAAUAUAAUAAAGAAUGGUUAAGAAAUUAAAAAUUAAAUUGAGAAAAUUGUUAAUUAAAUUCAAAGACUAAAUUUUAAAAGUUCAAUAACUAUUGGAUUUUAGUUUGGAAAAUGUUUGAGGACCUAAUUGGUAAUUAACCAAGGGACCUAAAUGGUUAUUAGACUAUUGAUAUUGUAUAUGCUGGAUGAUGAUGAUAACACCCAUUUAGUUUUAUUAAGUAAAGAUGUUAUAAUUAAUUAAUCAUAUUUUAAGGUUAAAUUAAAUGUUAAUUAAGCUUAAUUCAAUGGUUAAUCAACUUAUAUAAGCCAUGUUAGUGGAGAGAGAAAAGACAUUAAUCUUUUCCUCUCCUAUUGUGGCAUCCAUAGCUUAAAAGAAAAGAUGAAAAUUUUCUUAGUUUUCUAGCUUAAUCAAUCCAAAAUUCCAUAAGGUAAGUAUGUGAUUUUCUUGAAAUUUUUAUAGAAUUAUGAUUAAUAGAGGUUUGUUUACCUAACUUAUGUAUUGAUUUUAUAACACCCUUAACCCGUAUCUGUUGUUGAAACAGGGUUAAGAAGCAUUACCAAAGUUUUCAAAUAAUACAAACACAUUUUAUAAACAUUCAUAUCACAUCAUUAAAUAUAUUAAAACCAAGUCGAAGCAUAUACAUUGUCCCUUAAAUGAGCCCUCGAGGCCCAAAAUACGAGUUAGAAAUAAGUCGGGACUAAAUAAAAAACUUAGAGAUUUUUUAGAAAAUAUUGAAAAUUUUCAACACUGCAAGGGUCACAUGGCCAAGAGACAAGCCCAUGUCUCAGGCCGUGUGGGCAUUCAAAGUAGGGACGCACAGCCAUGUCCUUACCUAUGUUUGUACCUGUGUAACUCACUGACUUCGGUCACAUGGCCAAGCCACACGCUCAUGUGCUAGGCUGUGUACUAGGCUGUGUAACAGUCUAACUUGCAACCCUUUGAAAGCUAUAAAGGACACACAGCCCUGUUGCCUGGCUUUGUGUCAUACACAGCUGAGACACAUGCCCGUGUCUCUACCCAUGUGGACAGAAAAUAGGUCAUUUUACAAGCCAUUUUUCUCACCCAACUAGGCAUGUACCUACAGCAAAAAAUGCACAUGUAUACAAGCCAUAAUAAGACAAUAAAAUCGCGCAUAUUCUAGCUAUGUACAUAUGAUAUAAUCUCAUACAACCAAUAUGCCCUUAGGCACCUCAAAUGACAUUAUAUAAACAUGCCUAACCAUGUAAUAAAUUUGACCAAAACAAUCAACUAGCUUAUAGGCAUAUCUGCACCAAUACAUGCCAUUUAGCUUACAUACCAAAACAUACCAAAACUCAUCAAAUGGUACCAAACAUGCCAUUCAACCAUAACGUACCAAUGCACAACAUUUCCAUCAAGUUAAAAACCAUAUAUAUAUGAUAAAUCGUAAUUUAUACAUAUUUUUACCCCAUGCUUAACGCAUUUUAUGGAUGAUUUUUCCUUAGAAUUAGUGAAUUCGAUGCUUCUAAUGCCUUAAUUUCAUGUUUUAUACUUAGGUGAGCAUAGGAGAGCAAAAGGAAUGAGAAACGAGCCAAAAACAAAGAAAAUGGGCCAAAGUACGAAAUUAACACGGCUUGGACUUCCUCACACGGGUAGACUACAAGGCCGUGUCAAUUUGGCGAAAUCGAAACACGACUCACACGGGCGUGUCCCUGUCGAGCCCAAGUUGAGUCCAAUUCAAAAAAGGCUAAUUUUGAGGGUUUUUAGGCAUUCUAAAGCCUAUAAAUAUGUCUUAAAAGAAGAGGAGAAGGGGGACAGAGAGAAGGAAGUAGGGAACUGCUCAAGGGAAGCCGAUUGAUCCAUCUCAGAAGCCGGAGUCACCAUCAAGAUUGAAGAUCUCCCCUCAAUUUCCCUUUAGGAGUUUUGGGUUUUCUUUAUGUUUUGUAUUCAUUAUUCUUCUGAGAUGUUUUCCUUUCUAGUUAUGAACUAAAUCCCCUAAAUACCUAAGGGGAAUGAAACCUAAGACAAAUCUUGUUAUUAUUUUCUAAAUUGUAUGAUAAAUAUUUAACUUAUUCUUAAUUAUGUGUUCUUAAUUCUUGUUUUGAUAUCCGAGGAUGCUGAUUCAAGAUAAGCUCUUAUUUAGAGGAGGAAUAGACCCUGUCUAAGAGUACAUUUGUCAUAAUUAAGUGGAGUUGAUUGAGCACCUAGACAUAGGGUGACAAGACUUUGCCGGAUUAGGGUGAAACCUAAUAAGGGGAUCAAUAGAUAGAGUUAAUGCAGCCCUAGGGUGUUAAUUAGAGAGAAGUCUCAAUUGUUCAAUCUAGGGAUUAGACGUUAUUAGUCCUAAAUAGAGAUAAUAACAUAACUUAGGGAUCUCUACGGGACAAGUUAAAUGAAUAAAUUGUCCGAUUCGGAGCCAGAAUAAGAAGUAAAGUCUAGGUGGAUUUUUCCUUAGGUAUUGUCUUAAUUCAAUCGUUUUCCAAAAAUAAUCCCCCAAUUCUACUUUCUGUGAAUUCUUAGUUUAGAUAAUUAGUUAGUUAAAACAAAACCCCUUAUUCUUAAGCUAGAUAAUAAAAAGGCAGUCAUUACUAGUACUUUUAGUUCCUUUGGGUUCGACAAUCCGGUCUUGCUAAAACUAUACCAUUGUUCGAUAGGUACACUUGCCUACAUCGUAAUAAUAGUUAGUUUCAAGAAUGAUUCUUUAUAAAUUUUUAAAACCUGUCACACGAAAAUCACGAUCAAGUUUUUGGCGCCGUUGCCGGGAAACUAAGAUAUUAGGAACGCUCAAGUUUUUUUACUUUAGCCUUUUAUUUUUCUUGCAAUUUAAUUUUAAUUUAAUUUAAUUUAUUAUUUAUUAAUUUACUUUUUCUUUCUCUUGGUAGGUUUUUAUAGUUUAUGACUAGAAGAAACCCGUCAGGACCACUAUUUUUUGACGAAGAAAUCGAUCGCACAAUUCACAGAAACCAAAGAGAAAUAAGAUGAAGCUUAAGAUACACAGAGAACGAGCAAGAGGAUGAUACUGAAACCCCAACCAAAGAGAUGGCUGAAAACCAAGAAAAUCAGCUACCUCCUGCGAUACACGUUGAACUAGCAAAUCAGAAUCCUGCUCCUCGUACUAUGUAUGAUUAUGCUAAACCUACUUUAACAGGAACUAAGUGAAGUAUAGUUAGGCCUGCUAUUGCUGCAAAAAUUUUUGAACUAAAACCUAACACUAUUCAAAUGAUACAGCAAUUUGUUCAGUUUGAUGGUUUGCAGGAUGAGGAUCCGAACACUCAGCAAAUUUCCUGGAAUUUUGCGAUACAUUUAAAAUUAAUCGUGUUUCUGACGAUGCCAUUCGUCUUCGGUUAUUCCCUUUUUCAUUAAGGAACAAUGCUAAACAGUAGUUGAACUCGUUACCACAAGGGUCAAUUACUACUUGGGAACAAAUGACCGAAAAAGUUUUAUUAAAAUAUUUUCUACCGGCUAAAACGGCCAAAUUACUUAAUGAUAUCUCUUCGUUUGUGCAGAUGGACUUAGAAACUCUUUACGAUGCAUAGGAGAGAUACAAGGACUUACUGAGUUUAUUGAAGAGAUGUCACUGAAUAACUAUCAGUGGCAAGUCAUGAGGACUAAGCCAACUAAAACAGCAGGCGUUUAUAACGUCGAUUCGGUUACUAGGCUGUCUAACCAGGUAGAACUUUUAAAUAAAAAGAUUGAUGGUUUACUUGGUUCUACUUAGGUACAUCCAGUAAUGAGGUGCAAGACGAAUGGAGGAGGAGCAUGCACAGAGUAUCAACCCUUCAACCCUAGCAUGGAGGAGGAACAAGUUCAAUAUAUGGGUAACAAUAACUCUAGAUCCCAAAAUAACCCAUAUAGUAACACUUAUAAUGCAUGUUGGAGGAACCAUCCCAAUUUCUCGUGAGGCGGUCAAGGAAAUCAAAGACCACAACAUCCUCUGGGUUUUCAACAACCACCCUAUCAAUAGGAAAAUAAACCAAACCUUGAAGAGAUGCUGUCUAAAUUUAUCUCGGUGUCAGAAACCAUUUCCAAAACACCGAGAUAGCACUUAAAAAUCAACAAGCGUCGAUCCAAGGGCUCGAAACUCAAAUCGGCCAGCUUUCCAAACUAAUCUCCGAACAGCCACAAGGUAGCUUGCCAAGUAGUACUGAACCCAACCCAAGGGAACAACUCAACGUGAUUAAUGUUCAAGAUGAAGAAGGAUUCGUUGAGCCUGAGCCAGAAUCGAGGCAAGAAACUAUGGUAAGCAGAGGUCAAGGUGAGGUAGGUCAUAAUAAAAACAAAUUAGUGAAUGUCGAAUAUAAACCUCGUGUACCAUACCCCAACGCGACAAGGAAAGGCCACUCAGAUGAACAAUUUGGUAAAUUCCUUAAACUCUUAAAAAAAUUACAUAUUAAUUUAUCGUUUAUUGAAGCUCUAUCGCAGAUGCCAAACGCAAUGAAAUUUUUAAAGGAGCUUUUAGAAAAUAAGCGGAAGUUGAACGAGGCGUCGCAUGUAGAGAUAAACACAGUUUGUUCAGCUGUUCUACAGAAUAAACUACCCAACAAACUAAAAGAUCCAGGGAGUUUUACGAUUUAUUGCUUAAUUGGUAGUUUAGAUGUUAAUAAUGUAUUAGCUAAUUUAGGGGCUAGUAUUAACGUCAUGCCCUACAAAAUGUUCAAACAAUUAGGUCUUGGGAAACCCAAACAGACUAGGAUGAGCAUUCAAUUAGCAGAUAAAACUAUAAGAUUCCCUAGGGGUAUUAUUGAAGAUGUGCUAGUUGAAGUCAGUAAAUUUAUAUUUCCCGUUGACUUUAUUAUUCUAGACAUAGAGGAGGAUAGCGACACUCUUUUGAUUUUGGGACGACCCUUUUUAGUAACUGCUAAAACAAUUAUUAAUGUUGGCACAGGUGAGCUCACACUCCGUGUGGGAGACAAAACAAUCACCCUUCAAACUCGCAAUUCUGGCACCACAUCGGAAAUUGAAGGUGAUCGUCUAAACCAUUCUACUAAAACUGACAAUAUGGUACAACCUACUUUGCAAGAAAUGACUCUAAAGGAAGCACAUGAGUCAUUCUCAAGCAGUAGCAGAGGACCUAUUCAUGAAGACCGAAGGCUACAAAUUGAGGAGCUAGAUGAAUGACGGAUGCAUAAACCGAGAACACAUGAUAAACCAAAACUACGCCAGAACGAGCUCAACACCUUCCCACAUCAACUUAAGGUUGGAGAUAAAGUCUUAUUAGAUGCCGCAGAUCCUCACAUUGACAUUACCACACCAAAUGAAGAAAUCCCUCUUACGGUACUUAGCAUUUUCCCAUUCGGUACAAUCGAGGUAAGUCAUCCCAAGUUUGGCACUUUUAAGGUAAACAACACCCAUCUAAAACCUUAUUUUGAUGAGAAUUAUAGAAGGAAUGAGAAGUAUAAACUCCUUGAACCACCAUGACCAUUCAAUGGAGAGGUAAGUCGAGCUUAGACUAUAAAUAAGCACUUCUCGGGAGGCUGCCUGAGCACUAACAAUAUUAAUUUCUUUAAAUUUUAGUAUUUAACACCUAACUUACUAACAGAGAUCUUGAAUACAGGUUUUUCCACACUGACACGACCAAGCACACGGGUGUGCUUAGGGCCGUGUGAAAAUAGGGAAAAGAUUUCCCUAACACAAGCUAUGAUAAAUUACCACGGUCGUGUGACAUGGUCGUGGGCGAACUUGCCAAAACAACACGGGCAUACGACAUGCCAGUAUCUAGAACUCGUGGUCGAACUUGUUAAACGAACACGGGCGUUGGCCUACAUACACGGGUGUCGGGAGAAGCGAACGAAGCUAGGCACGGUCGUGCGACAUGACCGUGUGUACCCACACGCCCAAGGAACACGGCCGUGGACUAAAAGUCAAACGAGCCCAAAUUUAAAAUUCGCGAGUCACAUGGGCAAAAAUUAGGGAACACGAGCGUGUUCCCUGGCCGUGUGCCCCAAAAUCUAUAAAUAGGUUGCACUAUUCAUUAUCUUCUUCACCCAAAAAACCCUAACCUUAGCCCCUGCAAGUCCACACGCCCUCCCCACCACGCCCUUACGCCUCUUCCAACUGUAUUUUCGACACCCAACCUCUCUCCUUUAGCGUUUGCUUACUCUAUUCUCUUUUAUUUCACUAAUUUAUAAUGCUAUUUAUCAUAGUAAUCUAUAUUUUUCAUAUUAUUUUCAUCUUUCUAUCACUCAAAUGUCAUUUAUAGAACAAGUUAUCAUCUUUUUCUUGUUCAAAUUCUAUUCAUUACAUGAUUUCUCUACUCCACUUGAUUAGUUAGAAGUGCAUAUUCAUGGUUAGGAUAGUUGAAAUAUUCAUGCCUCUUGUGCUGACAUUUAUGUUCAUUCGUAUAGUAUGAUGCAUUCUAUUCUUUUCCAUUUUUAUUUAUAUCACCAUGCUAAUGCCACAAAAGUAGGCCAUUGAACUUAUUAUUUUAGCUAAACUUAGUAAUUGUGGCUGAACAUAUUUAUGGAUUUUCCUCUUCUAAUUUAGUCGCAUUUUCCCCUGUCUACUCAUCAAGAUGAAUUAAUGUUUCAAUUGCAGGCAUACAAUGUCGUCUUCACGUGGUAAAAAGGCCGCUGUCCCUGCUUUAAAGAAAAGAAAGGGAGCGUCAUCUUCUUCGGGUCCUACCGUAGAAGUUCGUCACCCUUUCUUGAGGUUCCCCAUCGGGCCCUAAGAAGAACUUUUCCAAAUACUGUAGGCUUGACCUUUAAUUGUGGGCCGCUGUAUUGACUGGGCUACAGUAGAACAAGUU
rnacentral:lncRNA from 1 species